ACAGCUGAGCAGGUAAUAGAAUGCACUGGAAGCAGGAAACAUGAGCAGACGGAGCCAGAGUUUCCGGCCAGGCCAACAGAGAGGAGAGGAAAGGAGACUAAAGAAAAUGGUAACAGAAGCUUUUUCUAAUGCCAGGCAUGUUAAGAAAGCCUUUGUUAUAAAACACAAGCAUUGAUUUCCUGUUUCCAUAACCUGUGAUUGAGUUACUGCCAGUUGAACAAAUGAGCUGAAAUAUCUGAUUCUUCUCAAGCGAUCUCAUGUUGGUACCUUGAAGUCAGCCAUGGUGGAAGUAUUUACAGCAUGGAAACUGGCUAAUGCAGCAAAUGAAGUCAUGGCUUUUUUGGGUUGGGGGGGGUUGGUGCCAGGCAC